CAUCUAUCUUUUUUAACAUAUCCAUACUAUAUAUAGGAUGCUGGUUUUCCAGCUAUGACGAUAAACGCGCAUAUAAUAAGCAGGCUGGACCUGGGGGCGGUACCCAGCGGCUCCACCAUAAUCUGCCACAAUUCAACCACGUGGCAGAUUAUGAUGGGGCCGAAAUAGAAUCGACAGAUGUGUAAAAAUGUUAGCUUUCGGCCGGAUUGGUACCGAUAAAUGCCUAUUUACAGUAAUUGCAAAUGACAAUUCUACUGAAGAGUUUGCUCUCGCCGCGUAAGCAGCGCGAACAUCUCGCACUUUAACUCCUAGCCCUUCAGACGGCUAGGCGGGCUUCGGGGGUAGCUGGCAACAGAAACCCCCACU
rnacentral:tmRNA from 1 species